rnacentral:rRNA from 1 species
UNUGACUUGAGUGCAGAAGGGGAGAGUGGAAUUCCAUGUGUAGCGGUGAAAUGCGUAGAUAUAUGGAGGAACACCAGUGGCGAAAGCGGCUCUCUGGUCUGUCACUGACGCUGAGGCUCGAAAGCGUGGGUAGCGAACAGGAUUAGAUACCCUGGUAGUCCACGCCGUAAACGAUGAGUGCUAGGUGUUAGGCCCUUUCCGGGGCUUAGUGCCGGAGCUGACGCAAUAAGCACUCCGCCUGGGGAGUACGACCGCAAGGUUGAAACUCAAAGGAAUUGACGGGGGCCCGCACAAGCGGUGGAGCAUGUGGUUUAAUUCGAAGCAACGCGAAGAACCUUACCAGGUCUUGACAUCCCAAUGCUAUUCUUAGAGAUAGGAAGUUACUUCGGUACAUCGGAGACAGGUGGUGCAUGGUUGUCGUCAGCUCGUGUCGUGAGAUGUUGGGUUAAGUCCCGCAACGAGCGCAACCCUUAUUGUUAGUUGCCAUCAUUAAGUUGGGCACUCUAGCGAGACUGCCGGUAAUAAACCGGAGGAAGGUGGGGAUGGCGUCAAAUCAUCAUGCCCCUUAUGACCUGGGCUACACACGUGCUACAAUGGCCGGUACAACGAGUUGCGAGCCGGUGACGGCAAGCUAAUCUCUGAAAGCCGAUCUCAGUUCGGAUUGGAGGCUGCAACUCGCCUCCAUGAAGUCGGAAUCGCUAGUAAUCGCGGAUCAGCACGCCGCGGUGAAUACGUUCCCGGGCCUUGUACACACCGCCCGUCACACCACGAGAGUUUGUAACACCCGAAGUCGGUGAGGUAACCUUUUAG